rnacentral:lncRNA from 13 species
CCUUUUCUUCUCUAGGCUGAACAACCUCAAUUCUCUUGUCCUUUCCUCCUAGGAGAGGAGUUCCAUCUAAUCACGAAAAUCUUAUGGGAGACAACGUCAGAAGCCUCACCUGAAGACAGACAACAUCCACUGUUCUCGCCUCAACUAUCAAGCCUGUCAUUCCAUGGUAGAAGGUAGUCAGAGAGAGAAAAGAAUAUGUGAAAGAACUCUGCAGACCCUGAGGUCAGAAAAGAAGGAGGAGGAGGAGAUGCUCCAUGCACCGGAGCAGAGAUUCCCCUGCAGUCCAUGAUGAAGACCACAGUGAGGCAAGAUGUACCCCUGCGGCUUAUGGAGGUCCACAGUGGAGCAGAGAUUCACCUGAAGCCUAUGAAGGACCGUACAACUGAGCAAGUCCCUCAAGGAGGCUGUGACCCCAGGGCAAGGCAGUGCUGGCACAGGCUCCUUGAGGGACCCCAUGGCGAGCAGGGGAAGAGUGUGAGGAGUCAUUCCUCAGAGAAGGAAGGAGUGUCAGACGCAACUUGUGAAGACCUGACCACAGCCCCUAUUCCCUGUCUCCCUGGGCCAGUGGGGGUGAGAAUGCUGCUUUGUUUGACACUCCUUUUUGGCUUAGAAGACAGCAUUAGAGAAAUUCUCAUUUGUCUUUGGAACAAAGAUAUAUUGGGGAAAACGCUAAGAAACUAUUUGUUUUCAAGACACGGACUUGAGGAGCUACUGGGAUAGCCACCAGCCUUUUAAAGAAAUAGAGAACAUUUAUGUUAAAGGUUAGGGGUACUGAGAAUGUCAAAGAAGGGAAUAAAAAUUUUAUUCCUUGGUGUUUCAUAGAAAGCAUUUUUCAGUUAUUAUUAUUACUAUUAUUAUUAUUAUUAUAUUAAAUACACACGUAACUAACUGGAGCUUCAGGUUCUAAAUUAAAGUCAGAGAAGAGAAAACAAAACAGUUCCUAAAUGUUUGUUGCAGGCAACAUCAGAGCAAAUUCCCAAUGAGUGAUGUUUCUAUUGAAGUGUGCCUGUUUUGAUCAGGGAUCUCAGCAUAACUUAACUCCAACUGUAGCUGUAGGCUUCUACAAAAAAAGAAAAAAAAAGGAUUUUUGGAUAGAUAAUACAUGCAAAGGAAUUUUUUUCUGGAAACAGAAGACCAGCUCUAUAUAUACUCUGAGUAAACAAACAAGAACAGGAUACUAGAGACUACAAAAAGGAAAAAGGACACUGCAUCUGUAUUUAAGUGUCUCUCGUCACAGAGUGCCAGUGGAAUUCUGAUGUCUGUUUCCAAUGCGACCCAGCUGAAAUCCAGAUUUAAUAAACUGCACCCAAAUAAAUCCCAACUAAACACAGAUAUCAGGGAGAAAGAGGUUCUUUGAGAAAAGUAGAAAGAAAAACCCCAGAACAGUGAGAAAGAACCUAAGUUUUAGCAAAACAGAGGAGUCAGAGGGAUAUGAGGACACAUGAAGGACAAGGUCAGAGAGAAGGUGAGAGCAAUGCUGCUGAGGAAGAUGCCAGAGGCCUGUAAAAGUAUGUGAUAUAAGUAGACCCCUUUCCCCAUAAAUUUUUGUUUCCAUUUUAAUUGUGGACCACAGAAAAAAAAAAAAAACACCUGAAAUUGGAAAAGGCUGAAAAGUUUGCCAAGCAAUGCUUCACCUGCAGCAGUAGCCCUUGCUGCAGCAGUGGCCCACCUGAUCUGUUUUCCUCACCAGUUAAUGAUUGAAAUAUGUCACAUUCAUGUGGAAAGGCUUUUGUCACCAACCUGAUUUUUUUAGGAAGACUUUUCCAUUGACAGUGUGAUUUAAGGUUUUCUGUAUUUUCUGAUGGACCACUAUGGAUAUAUUCAUCCAUCUCAAAGUUACACUACCUUCUAAUUGCUCAUGAUAUUCACUGAUCUGAUGUGAAGUAUUUUACUGUUUGCCAAGGACUGAAGGUAAAGAGGAAAAAUACCAAGAGAUCCUUGAAAGUUGAGGAAAGAGGAGAAAUUCAAAUGAGGCCAAAAUGGGAAGCAGAGAAACAUUUUCAGUUUAGUAGAGGACUAACAUUGUUCUAAAGACAAUGAGUCUUCAGAACAACAGUUCUCUAUGCCCCAAGUUAAUUCCAAAUACUCCUAACUUUAGGUAAAUAAAUCGAUGCUGAUAUUCUGCCCUGACAGACCUGAAACACAGAGUAAGUAAUUAACCUUCAGCUUGUCAGAUCUGAUACUUAGUCAUCAUCAUCAGAGUCACUAAAGGUAUAAGCCCUGAAGGAAAAUAUCAUUCGGCUCCUGCCACUCUCAUUUGUGGACCAAGUCAUACAAUGAAAGUUUUUCCAAACUCAUUUCAGAUGAAGAAUGGUGCUUUUACAGUUGGUUUAAUGGAAUAAUGAGCAAGUUGAAAGGUCUUGGUGUAAUAUUUGAGUUUCAGAUUUAAUUUCAGUGGGAUCAUUCUUUCUCCUUGCAAUUGGCUGAGAGCUUUCCAAGUUUUCCUGACUGUCAUUUGAAAUGAGAAGCACUGUCAGAUUGUAAGGAGUCCAGAAAAGGACAUUCAGGUCCUGUUACUGUGUACUUGACCCAUGCCUUUUGAAGUAGCAGUUUGUUCUGUUUAAGACACUUUUCUCCAAGUUGGAAAUUUAAAAUAGUUUACUUCAGGAACAGAAGCUGCCUGCUUACCAGAUCCAUCUGAUCUAGUGGCAUUAUUUAGGUUCACAGGCUUCUAUCUGUUAGAUCAGUGGCGUGACUACCCUUUCUCAAAUCUCUAUCCCUUAUAUGUAUUUCCUUGAGUCCUAUUCAAUCUUGCAGUAGAACCCCUUAGGAAGAAUAGGAUUUGUGCCAGUGGUUUACAUGACUAAUUGAUUCUUGUAGACACAACCAGUGCUAGAACAAGUAGGUACUGCAGAUGCCUCCCUCCUUAAGAUGGAAGCCAAAGAGGCUCUGUAUCACUUUUUGAGCUGUUCUCAAUUAGUUCCAUGAAACAUUGCCAGAAAAUGUUUGCUUAUGUUGGGAAGCAGUGAAAACUCUAUACAUUCAGGUUUUGUUAAAAUGUAUAGGCCCAGAUUUAAUUUGUACUCUCAGGUCAGAUAUGGCAGUCUCACUGCAGUUUUGUGGCACUGAAAAAACAAGUUGGGGCUCAG